GACGUCGAUAUUCGACGUCAUAAACACGAUCAACUUUGAUGUUUAUGACGUCGAUAUUCGACCUCAUAAACACGAUCAACUUUGGUGUUUAUGACGUCGAUAUUCGACGUCAUAAACACGAUCAACUUUGGUGUUUAUGACGUCGAUAGUCGGCGCAUAAACACGAUCAACUUUGGUGUUUAUGACGUCGAUAUUCGACGUCAUAAACACGAUCAACUUUGUUGUUUAUGACGUCGAUAUUCGACGUCAUAAACACGAUCAACUUUGGUGUUUAUGACGUCGAUAUUCGACGUC
rnacentral:miRNA from 1 species